rnacentral:rRNA from 1 species
GAUGAACGCUGGCGGCGUGCCUAAUACAUGCAAGUCGAGCGAACAGACGAGGAGCUUGCUCCUCUGACGUUAGCGGCGGACGGGUGAGUAACACGUGGAUAACCUACCUAUAAGACUGGGAUAACUUCGGGAAACCGGAGCUAAUACCGGAUAAUAUAUUGAACCGCAUGGUUCAAUAGUGAAAGACGGUUUUGCUGUCACUUAUAGAUGGAUCCGCGCCGCAUUAGCUAGUUGGUAAGGUAACGGCUUACCAAGGCAACGAUGCGUAGCCGACCUGAGAGAGUGAUCGGCCACACUGGAACUGAGACACGGUCCAGGCUCCUACGGGAGGCAGCAGUAGGGAAUCUUCCGCAAUGGGCGAAAGCUUGACGGAGCAACGCCGCGUGAGUGAUGAAGGUCUUCGGAGCGUAAAACUCUGUUAUUAGGGAAGAACAAAUGUGUAAGUAACUAUGCACGUCUUGACGGUACCUAAUCAGAAAGCCACGGCUAACUACGUG